rnacentral:misc_RNA from 1 species
AACGCACAUUGCGCCCGCCAGUAUUCUGGCGGGCAUGCCUGUCCGAGCGUCAUUUCAACCCUCGCGCCCAUCUGGGCUGCGGUGUUGGGGACCGGCCUGCCCCCCCGGGGCGCGCCGCCCCCCAAAAUCAGUGGCGGUCUCGCUGCAGCCUCCCUUGCGUAGUAGCACACCUCGCACCGGAGCGCAGCGCGGCCACGCCGUAAAACCCCCGACCCCCAUGAGUUUGACCUCGGAUCAGGUAGGAAUACCCGCUGAACUUAA